GCAAAUUGUUGCUCAAAAGACUGGUGCUGUCCUGAGGUUUGUAAAUUUGACAGAGGAUGAAGUUCCAGAUGUAGGGCAAUUAAGAGACUCUCUCUCAAGCAGCACAAAACUUUUGGUCAUGCAUCAUGUCUCGAAUAUGUUAGCUUCUGUUCUUCCUAUGGAUGAAGUCAUAAGUUGGGCACAUGAUGUUGGAGCAAAAGUGCUUGUAGAUGCUUGUCAAAGUGUCCCACACAUGGUGGUCGAUGUUAAGAAUCUAGACACUGAUUUUCUUGUUGGUUCCUCUCAUAAGAUGUGUGGGCCUACAGGCGUUGGAUUCUUGUAUGGCAAGAGCGAGAUCCUUUCUGGCAUGCCUCCUUUCCUUGGUGGUGGCGAAAUGAUAGCUGAUGUGUAUUUGGAUCAUUCCACUUAUGCUGAACCUCCUUCGAGAUUUGAGGCUGGGACUCCCGCAAUUGGAGAAGCAAUUGGGCUUGGAGCUGCAAUUGAUUAUAUUUCUGAAAUUGGCAUGCAACAGAUUCAUGAUUAUGAGAUGGAGUUAGGUAAUUAUUUGUAUGAUCGCCUCUCUUCUGUAUCUGAUGUUCGAAUUUAUGGGCCUGCACCUUCACGAACCGUUAAGCGAGCUGCUCUUUGUUCUUUCAAUGUUAAAGAUAUUCACCCUACUGAUAUCGCAACCUUCCUUGACCAACAGCAUGGUGUAGCGAUUAGAUCAGGUCACCACUGUGCUCAACCUCUGCAUCGACAUUUGGGAAUCAAUGCAAGUGCACGAGCUAGCCUUCAUUUCUACAAUACUAAAGACGACGUUGACAAAUUCAUCGAUGCACUCAAGGACACAAUCAACUUUUUCACUUCUUUCAAAUGAAGGUAUGUUUAUGUUCUCUAGUGUACCUUAAGGCACAUGUAACAUAAGUAAAAAACUUAUAAUUAUCUCAAUUUAAAGGUGUGAUUCGUGAAUAAAUUGACUUCAAGGAGUUUGAAUUAUUGUAAAUUAGGUACU
rnacentral:misc_RNA from 1 species